UGGGGAAUUUUGGACAAUGGGCGCAAGCCUGAUCCAGCCAUGCCGCGUGCGGGAAGAAGGCCUUCGGGUUGUAAACCGCUUUUGUCAGGGAAGAAAUCUUCUGAGUUAAUACCUCGGGAGGAUGACGGUACCUGAAGAAUAAGCACCGGCUAACUACGUGCCAGCAGCCGCGGUAAUACGUAGGGUGCAAGCGUUAAUCGGAAUUACUGGGCGUAAAGCGUGCGCAGGCGGUUUUGUAAGACAGAGGUGAAAUCCCCGGGCUCAACCUGGGAACUGCCUUUGUGACUGCAAGGCUUGAGUGCGGCAGAGGGGGAUGGAAUUCCGCGUGUAGCAGUGAAAUGCGUAGAUAUGCGGAGGAACACCGAUGGCGAAGGCAAUCCCCUGGGCCUGCACUGACGCUCAUGCACGAAAGCGUGGGGAGCAAACAGGAUUAGAUACCCUGGUAGUCCACGCCCUAAACGAUGUCAACUGGUUGUUGGGAAGGUUCCUUCUCAGUAACGUAGCUAACGCGUGAAGUUGACCGCCUGGGGAGUACGGCCGCAAGGUUGAAACUCAAAUGAAUUGACG
rnacentral:rRNA from 1 species